UUGAGGAAUUUUCCGCAAUGGACGAAAGUCUGACGGAGCGACGCCGCGUGGGUGACGAAGGUUUUCGGAUCGUAAAGCCCUGUCAGGGGGAAAGAACCCCACAGUCGCUAAUAUCGGCUGUGGCUGACGGUACCCCCAAAGGAAGCACCGGCCAACUACGUGCCAGCAGCCGCGGUAAUACGUAGGGUGCAAGCGUUAUCCGGAAUUACUGGGCGUAAAGAGCUCGUAGGCGGUUGGGUAAGUCGCAUGUUAAAGACCCGAGCUUAACUCGGGGGAUGCGUGCGAUACUGCCCGGCUAGAGAACAGGAGAGGAAUGUGGAAUUCCUGGUGUAGCGGUGAAAUGCAUAGAUAUCAGGAAGAACACCUGUGGCGAAGGCGGCAUUCUAGACUGUUUCUGACGCUGAGGAGCGAAAGCCAGGGGAGCGAACGGGAUUAGAAACCCCGGUAGUCC
rnacentral:rRNA from 1 species